rnacentral:rRNA from 1 species
ACGCUGCGGCAGGCCUAAUACAUGCAAGUCGGACGGGAUUGAGGAGCUUGCUUUUCAUGAGAGUGGCGCACGGGUGCGUAACACGUAUGUAACCUACCUUAUCCAGGGGGAUAGCCUCUCGAAAGAGAGAUUAACACCGCAUAACAUUAUUGAACAGCAUUGUUUAAUAAUCAAAUAUUUAUAGGGAUAAGAUGGGCAUGCGGGACAUUAGCUAGUUGGCGGGGUAACGGCCCACCAAGGCGACGAUGUCUAGGGGAUCUGAGAGGAUGACCCCCCACACUGGUACUGAGACACGGACCAGACUCCUACGGGAGGCAGCAGUAAGGAAUAUUGGUCAAUGGGCGGAAGCCUGAACCAGCCAUGCCGCGUGCAGGAAGACGGCCCUACGGGUUGUAAACUGCUUUUGCAGGGGAAUAAACCCCGGUACGUGUACCGGGCUGAAUGUACUCUGAGAAUAAGGAUCGGCUAACUCCGUGCCAGCAGCCGCGGUAAU